rnacentral:lncRNA from 1 species
AGUGAUGGUUUUGAUGAAAGCUUAUCCCUCACGGUCUCCAAACCUCAGGCACCAUCAGUCGACUCCUCUAAAGACCCAAAUAAAACUCGAAAAAUCAAGACAGUCGUGCAGGAGAUAGUGAAUGGCGAAGUGGUCUCAUCCCAGGUUCAGGAACUUGAAGAAGCGAUGUAAGGCCUCACUCGGGCUCCUCUGGAAUGCGAAGUUUACGGCUAGAAGUUACUGCUUCUGUGUGUUAUACUCAUUCAGCAUCUGUUUUGGCCAGUUUCCUUUCCCUGGGAUUCUCUGUUCACGCUGGGCCUUGUUAGCAUUUCUGAAACAAUAUCCAAUUACACAUCUCUGUGGCUGUGCAGAUCUUCAUUGCAACCCCAGAUCUCCUUACACCUCUCUGGGCCUGAAGGGGUCUUUUCCACUGUUUUUUCUGGUUUCCUGGACCAUUUGUUUCAUCCCAAAGCUUUGAUGGAACAGUAUGGGUUUAACAGCGCUAAUUUGAAUUAAAGAUUCAUGGCAAUGAAGUGAA